CAAGGGCGAGGAAUACUUGGAUAACGUACCCCGGGCACAGGGAUAGCCGUGGGAAACCGCGGAUAAUACCUGAUGAGACCACAGUACCUACGGGCACAGUGGUCAAAGGGUGGGGACCUUCGGGCCUACCGGCCUGGGAGCGGUCCAAGUCCUAUCAGCUUGUUGGUGAGGUAAUGGCUCACCAAGGCAACGACGGGUACCGGGACUGAGAGGUUGACCCGGCGCAUUGGGACUGAGACACUGCCCAGACUCCUACGGGAGGCUGCAGCAACGAAUAUUCCGCAAUGGGCGAAAGCCUGACGGAGCGACGCCGCGUGUAGGAUGAAGUCCCUCGGGAUGUAAACUACUGUCAGGGACCACCAAGCGACCCGGGUAAAUAAUCCGGGAAGUUGAGGAAUCCCAGAGGAAGUCACGGCUAACUUCGUGCCAGCAGCCGCGGUAAGACGAAGGUGGCAAGCGUUGUUCGGAAUCACUGGGCUUAAAGAGCACGUAGGCGGACUGUCAAGCGUCUUGUGAAAGCCCUCGGCUUAACCGGGGAAUUGCUUGGCGAACUGGCAGUCUUGAGGCAGGUAGGGGCAACUGGAACUCUUGGUGGAGCGGUGGAAUGCGUAGAUAUCAAGAGGAACGCCAGAGGCGAAGGCGAGUUGCUGGGCCUGUCCUGACGCUGAGGUGCGAAAGCCAGGGGAGCGAACGGGAUUAGAUACCCCGGUAGUCCUGGCCCUAAACGAUGUCUACUAGGUCGAGGAUUCUCUGACGGAUUCUUGGCCGAAAUGAAAACGAUAAGUAGACCGCCUGGGGAGUACGGUCGCAAGGCUAAAACUCAAAGGAAUUGACGGGGGCUCACACAAGCGGUGGAGCAUGUUGCUUAAUUCGAUGCAACGCGAAGAACCUUAUCCUGGGCUUGACAUGAUUGGAUGCCCUCUGGGAAACCAGAGUAAGCUGCCCUUCGGGGUGAAACUUUCACAGGUGCUGCAUGGCUGUCGUCAGCUCGUGUCGUGAGAUGUUGGGUUAAGUCCCGUAACGAGCGAAACCCUGUCGGUACUCGCGGGCGCGUAAUGACGGGGAGUCUAGCAAGACGACCGGUGUCAAACCGGAUGAAGGUGGGGAUGACGUCAAGUCCUCAUGUCCUUUAUACC
rnacentral:rRNA from 1 species